rnacentral:lncRNA from 1 species
UGGCAAUGAAGCAUGGCCUGUCCCUUUUGCUGUCCAGAAAUCUCCCAAACUUGUGGCCGGUAACCUCUUCCUUUCUAUCCUUUCCGAAGAUUCCCUUUGGAUGGAAGUCAGCUGUGAAUGCUCUCCUGAUUUGCAUUCAAUUGUAUAAAUUGUCAUAGGGCGGAAAAAUGUAAUCUCAGUUAAUUUGAGGUUUCUUCCUGCCCUGGCAUUGUAUUUAAAUUCAGGGGAACUGGAUGUCUCAUGGGUUUUUCUACUUUUUAAUAUAAUCUGGUUAUAUGGGCAUUGGGUAAGAUAUCUGCCGCCUGAUUUGAUCCUUCCUCAUUGGCCCAAGCAUGUCACCACGGAGACUUCCUUGUUCGUGUCUAUAUGGUUCAUACAUGGCCUUCCCCUUAAUUAAAGAUGUCUUCCGAGGAACAUUUUGUCUAAGCCUCUGGCAAAGAAGUAUGGAACUGGGAGAGGUGGAAGAUUCGGAGCUAGAGGAGAAGGAAGGAGGAUAAUGAAGCACACCUGAGAACUUUGCUGCAUCGUGGUUUUGAAAGUGUGGCUUUUACUGUUGCCCAUCAUAUGCAACUGAGUUCAGAGGGCACAUAAAGUUGGAUACAAACCACUUUGGUGAACCAGACAUUUG